AAGGAUUAACGAAAUUCUAACUCUAUUUAUUUUACUAUUUAAAAUUUAAAUUCCAGGUGAAGAUGCCUGGAUAAGCUUGAAAGACAAGAAGACCCUAUAGAGUUUUAGUGCCUACAUCCCCAUUAACCACAUCACUUUAAUUGGGGCGAUUAAGGAUUUUACUUUACAUCCUUUUUUUUUACGAUUAUUAAAUCUCUAUUAACAAUCCUUUAUUUUGAAUUUAAAAUAAACUACCUUAGGGAUAACAGGCUUAUCUUCCUAAAGAGUUCAAAUUAACAGGAAGGUUUGGCACCUCGAUGUUGGCUUAGAGUAACCUAAUAAAGCAAAAAUUAUUAUCGGU
rnacentral:rRNA from 1 species